rnacentral:lncRNA from 13 species
AUUGAGAAAAAGAGAAGAGACGCUGUAAGAGCAGUUAUAAGCAUGUUUUAUCUGAUUCUAAUUUUUAGACAGUCAGCAAUUUGCAUACUGCACCUGUAUUAAUCAGAUACUUGAUUGAGCAGAGGCUUCUCAUUCCUUUACUCUAUCAGACUGUCUGGAAUGGCACUGGGGGAAUUGACUCUGACGUUCAGAUAAGUAGCAGGGAGGAGAGUCUAAAGUCACCACUCAAUAAAAUAAUUUGGCACUUUUAUUAGGAAAUCGUUGUGUUUACCAAAGGAAAACCUCAUUUUGACUGGAAACACAGAAAAACCAAGCAAGUAAUUUCAAAGCCUGAGCAGGGAAGACUGAAGUACAUACCUGUCCCCAAGCAAAGCCAAGCUGAAUAGAAAAAGCCUUCUGGCCGGAGAGAGGACUUUGACUGGAGAAUAAGGCUCCCCACCGUAUCACCUUUCAAAUACUUGGAAAAAUCUUAGGGAAAGUGCUGGGCCUACUACAGAGUUGUUCAGCUUCUGGAGUCUUCCUGCCUUCUAGGUGCCUGUUCUAUCUCCCUGGGCUGCCUGUCAAGGAUGCCCUUGGUCUGCCAGAAAAAAGCAUUGCUGCUUUACCCUGAUACACACAGAAGUCUAGAUUCCAUUCACUCCAAUAUCAGUCCUUC